rnacentral:rRNA from 1 species
UACGGGGGGGGCAAGCGUUGUUCGGAAUUACUGGGCGUAAAGGGCUCGUAGGCGGCCAACUAAGUCAGACGUGAAAUCCCUAGGCUCAACCUAGGAACUGCGUCUGAUACUGGAUGGCUUGAAUCCGGGAGAGGGAUGCAGAAUUCCAGGUGUAGCGGUGAAAUGCGUAGAUAUCUGGAGGAAUACCGGUGGCGAAGGCGGGUCUCUGGGCAGUAACUGACGCUGAGGAGCGAAAGUGUGGGGAGCGAACAGG